AUUGGUUACAAAGUUACAUUCCUACGCAGAAGCAACCAGAGAUACUUUCAAUUUUCCAUGUGCCACGCAGAAAGUUCUAGGAAGUCAGUGUGAAUCGGCCUUAGUUUCCUUGCCUCCAGACCCUAUUCUCCUGCCUCACUUUUGCACCAACCUCAUACAACAACCCAUACAGAACUUGAAGAUCCAGGAAGCCUCUGCCUCCAUCCAGGAGCCGCUUCAUCCUCUACUCGGUGUAACUAUCUCUGAGAUUCCACAUCCUUUGAGAUUAAAAACACUUUACAUCUUCUGGGUCUGUUGACGGGUCCUUCCACCAAUCACAUCGCUGUGCUUCUGUGACAACUGAACACAACUGGAAGUGAAAAACAACUCCUCAUUCAAAGGGGUUUAAGGUACCCAAUUGCAAGCAGGGAAGAGAAAAUCAAAAGAACGGAUGAGACUUAUAUACACGGUUCCUUGUAGAUUCUGGAUAUUGGGCCUUUGUCAGAUGCAUAGAUUGCAAAAAUUUUCUCCCACUCUGCCAAAAGAGGAGUACAUCUGAACAGCAAUAGAGCAGAGGAAGAAACCCUAAGUCAUGUUGUAGCCUAAUACCAUGGAGUAGCACAGACUUUGAAACCAGGCAGAACCAGGUUUGAACUUUAAUUGAGAACUUGAACAGAUCUCUUCAGAACCGGGAAAACAUCUCCUUUUGUUGACAUCACAUGAAGGUUGAAGUCCGCUGUCAGGACCAUGUUUAAGGAUCUCAAUUGCCAUGUGGAUAA
rnacentral:lncRNA from 10 species